rnacentral:rRNA from 1 species
AUUGAACGCUGGCGGCAUGCUUUACACAUGCAAGUCGAACGGCAGCGCGGGGCAACCUGGCGGCGAGUGGCGAACGGGUGAGUAAUACAUCGGAACGUACCCAGAAGUGGGGGAUAACGUAGCGAAAGUUACGCUAAUACCGCAUACGUUCUACGGAAGAAAGUGGGGGACCUUCGGGCCUCAUGCUUUUGGAUCGGCCGAUGUCUGAUUAGCUAGUUGGUGAGGUAAAGGCUCACCAAGGCGACGAUCAGUAGCUGGUCUGAGAGGACGACCAGCCACACUGGGACUGAGACACGGCCCAGACUCCUACGGGAGGCAGCAGUGGGGAAUUUUGGACAAUGGGCGCAAGCCUGAUCCAGCAAUGCCGCGUGAGUGAAGAAGGCCUUCGGGUUGUAAAGCUCUUUUGUCAGGGAAGAAACGGCUGAGGAUAAUACCUUCGGCUAAUGACGGUACCUGAAGAAUAAGCACCGGCUAACUACGUG